rnacentral:rRNA from 1 species
UACAGGGGGGGGCAAGCGUUGUUCGGAAUUACUGGGCGUAAAGGGUCUGUAGGUGGCCAACUAAGUCAGACGUGAAAUCCCUCAGCUUAACUGGGGAACUGCGUCUGAUACUGGAUGGCUUGAGUGUGGGAGAGGAAUGCGGAAUUCCAGGUGUAGCGGUGAAAUGCGUAGAUAUCGGAAGGAACAUCAGUGGCGAAAGCGGCUUCCUGGACCAGCACCGACGUUCAGGCACGAAAGCGUGGGGAGCAAACAGG